rnacentral:rRNA from 1 species
AUACGGAGGAUGCGAGCGUUAUCCGGAUUCGAUUGGGUUUAAAGGGUGCGUAGGCGGCUUUUUAAGUCAGUGGUGAAAUCCUGCCGCUUAACGGUAGAAUUGCCAUUGAUACUGAAGAGCUUGAGUACAAUUGAGGUAAGCGGAAUGUGUAGUGUAGCGGUGAAAUGCUUAGAUAUUACACAGAACACCGAUUGCGAAGGCAGCUUACUAAACUGUCACUGACGCUGAUGCACGAAAGCGUGGGGAGC